UAAUCAGGAAGUCAUCUUUGUUACUGUUCAUUAUAAGUCCAUAAGUGAUGUCCUUUAGAGUGAGGUUUCCAAGGUGAGGCACCUUUGGAUAAAGCCAGUCAUGAAUAUCAGACCAUAAAUCCUCCACAUACAUACAAUGAAAAAAUAGAUGAUCUGUGGUUUCUAUAUCAUCACAGAAUAUACAUUUAUUAGAAUCAAACCCAAACCUAAGUCGUAGGAAUUCACUGGAUGGAUAUAUCCCAUUUAAAAUUUGAAAAGGUACAAACUACAAAUAAACCACUGUGCAGAAAAAAGUGCACAACAAUGAAGGGGUCACGCUCUAAAAUAUCAAGAGUGCAAAACAGACACAUUACACUAGUGUGACUAUAAAACAGAGCAAGUUUUUACAAAUGGGAAAUAAUCAAGAAAAUCAAGAAUUCAGCCGCUCUGCAGGAAUAUGCACUAUGCAAAAAACAGCAAGAAGUUUACACACGCACACAAAUGAACUGGUGUGGCUGUAACAAUUAUGGUAACAUUGAGCUUUUAAAGACUUUAAAAAGAGGUUGAAAUCAGAUCUGAUUCUGGCCCAGAUUAAUUGAUGUGUAACCCGGGUAACCUAAGAAAAGGAAAACAAAUUCUAGAAGAAAAAGAGAUUCAUCCAAUCCCUGAUUCGUGCUGCAAUGAGAGACACCCCUAAGAGCCAAUAGUAGCGGCGCAUUCAUAAGUCCCGCCCACUGGUCUCGCCGGCGCUGCUUUCAGCGUGAGCAGAUGAGAGCGAGUCAGAGCAGAUCAGCACAGACGGACCAGACAGUUUCUCCAGAAAAUCCAUUGAUCUAACUGGAAAUGUGAGUGAGUGCACUGAAAGUGGAGCUUUUGAAGUCGACGCGUCAGCCUGAAGUGAUGUCGUCGGAGACAGAGAAGAGAGAGAGACGGAGCGGAUCCCAGAGUGUUGAAGCACUGUACAGUCAUUUAUGUUCAUCUGUUUACAUUUAUUGAGGUAAGAAGACAAAUAUCUAAGAAAAUGAAUGCGUAUCAUUUCCAUCUCUUGUUUCUUGACAGACCGAAAGGAAAAGGGCAGUGAUUCCCAUACCACAGAAAAAUUAAUUACUGUUGAUGAGUAUCAAGCACAACCUCGACAGAGACUCAGAAGAGGCUGAAAAAAUGGAGGAAAACGAAAAAUUGAGAAAUAAUGACAAAAAAAGCUACCAAAUCUGUUAAAUGAAGUGAAGAUGGCCCUGAAGUCUCUGUUUGUCAGCAUCAGUCACAUAACUUGGAAGAUGGGACAGGAUUUGCCACAGAGUAAUUACAGAGCCCUUCCAGCAGAACAGGCCAUGUUUUACAUUGUAGAGUUUCUGGAAACCCAAGAGGUUGGAGUGGUACCAGCACUUGUGGGUUGAAGAUGAAAUCUGUCAGUGGCCAACUCACUACAAACCUGAUGAAUUAGUAAAAGCCAUAUGAAAUGAGGAGCAGCCUGGGCACAAAUGAGAUGCAUAUUGUGUUGGAAUUUUAUAAAAAGCAGGUAUGUACAUAAUUUUUUAUUUUUAUAGCAACCUACAAAACUGCUUGUCUAAAACUUCCUCAAGUGGAAACCCACACUGACCUUCAAACAGCAGAGGAAGAUGACGAGGAUGCCAAUCCAAAGAAAAAGUGGAAAAGGCUGUCCUCAAGCUACGGUAGCCACAAGAGGUAUUGCUGUGGGCAACAACACAUCCAAGGUUCUUUCGCUCUGCUCAGUUUCAACGUGGCAAAUCCUGAUGACUCCACCUACCUCCCCAGCAUAUCUGAAUUGUUUGACACCACCAGUGAACAAGCACCAAACAAGACACCGCAGGACAGAGUGAAAUACUUGAUAUAUGAGGAGUGCCUACUUGAGCUUUUUAAAAUCUGUCCCACCUGCUCAAGAGUCAGCAAGGUGCUCAAUGUAAUGCAUGCGAGAACCUUCAGCAGAAUGACACAUCGAAAUCAUGUGCAUAAAUACAUUCUGCCUUUCGUGCUGUAUAAAUGGCGAUCACACCAGACCAACCUGCUUGAUGGACGAUAACAGAACGAAACUGUAUCUCUUGGUGGUGAUAUGAGAGCUGACAGUUCAGGCCAUUGUGCAAAAUAUGGCUCAUACUCCAUGGAUCUCAGCAUAAUCAAAAUUGUUCAUAUCCAGCUCAUACAGAGUAAUGAAGUGGGAAGCAGUGUCCGUAUGGAAAAGGAAGGGCUUAUCCAGAGUCUGGAAUUUUGAAAAAUCUGGUGUCAAAAUAGCUUCCCUGGUGACAGACUGACACACCCGGGUUUAAAAGUUUGCCUGGGAACAGACCACUUUUAUGAUGUAUGGCAUUUAUGUAAAACACUCACCAAGAAAGCAGACACCAUCUCCAAGGAGAAGAAAUGCAACAAGAUCAAAAUGUUGCAAAAGAGCAU